rnacentral:rRNA from 1 species
CCUACGGGGGGCAGCAGUGGGGAAUAUUGCACAAUGGGCGCAAGCCUGAUGCAGCCAUGCCGCGUGUGUGAAGAAGGCCUUCGGGUUGUAAAGCACUUUCAGCGGGGAGGAAGGCGUUAAGGUUAAUAACCUUGUCGAUUGACGUUACCCGCAGAAGAAGCACCGGCUAACUCCGUGCCAGCAGCCGCGGUAAUACGGAGGGUGCAAGCGUUAAUCGGAAUUACUGGGCGUAAAGCGCACGCAGGCGGUCUGUCAAGUCGGAUGUGAAAUCCCCGGGCUCAACCCGGGAACUGCAUUCGAAACUGGCAGGCUGGAGUCUUGUAGAGGGGUGUAGAAUUCCAGGUGUAGCGGUGAAAUGCGUAGAGAUCUGGAGGAAUACCGGUGGCGAAGGCGGCCCCCUGGACAAAGACUGACGCUCAGGUGCGAAAGCGUGGGGAGCAAACAGGAUUAGAUACCCGAGUAGUC